rnacentral:rRNA from 1 species
UACAGAGGGUGCGAGCGUUAAUCGGAAUUACUGGGCGUAAAGCGUGCGUAGACGGUUAUUUAAGUCGGGUGUGAAAGCCCCGGGCUCAACCUGGGAAUUGCAUUCGAGACUGAAUAGCUAGGGUACGGUAGAGGGAAGUGGAAUUUCCGGUGUAGCGGUGAAAUGCGUAGAUAUAGGAAGGAACACCAGUGGCGAAGGCGACCACCUGGACUGAUACUGACACUGAGGCGCGAAAGCGUGGGGAGCAAACGGG